ACGAAGGUGGCAAGCGUUGUUCGGAUUCACUGGGCGUACAGGGAGCGUAGGCGGUUGGGUAAGCCCUCCGUGAAAUCUCCGGGCCUAACCCGGAAAGUGCAGAGGGGACUGCUCAGCUAGAGGAUGGGAGAGGAGCGCGGAAUUCCCGGUGUAGCGGUGAAAUGCGUAGAGAUCGGGAGGAAGGCCGGUGGCGAAGGCGGCGCUCUGGAACAUUUCUGACGCUGAGGCUCGAAAGCGUGGGGAGCAAACAGGAUUAGAUACCCUGGUAGUCCACGCCUUAAACUAUGGAUACUAAGUGUCGGCGGUUUACCGCCGGUGCCGCAGCUAACGCAAUAAGUAUCCCGCCUGGGAAGUACGGCCGCAAGGUUG
rnacentral:rRNA from 1 species